rnacentral:pre_miRNA from 1 species
CCUUUGUCCCGCUUUCACCGUUCAUGUCUACCGUUGACCGUUCGUCUAUUUGAAACAUUUUUAUGAUUAGUAUUUUUAUUGUUAUUAGAUGAUAAAACAUUGAUAGUCAUAUUUCAUAAGACGGAUAGUCAAACGUUGGACACGGAUACUCACAACUGCACUUACU